GACGAACGCUGGCGGCGUGCUUAACACAUGCAAGUCGAACGGAAAGGCCCUGCUUUUGUGGGGUGCUCGAGUGGCGAACGGGUGAGUAACACGUGAGUAACCUGCCCUUGACUUUGGGAUAACUUCAGGAAACUUGGGCUAAUACCGGAUAGGAGCUCCUGCUGCAUGGUGGGGGUUGGAAAGUUUCGGCGGUUGGGGAUGGACUCGCGGCUUAUCAGCUUGUUGGUGGGGUAGUGGCUUACCAAUGCUUUGACGGGUAGCCGGCCUGAGAGGGUGACCGGCCACAUUGGGACUGAGAUACGGCCCAGACUCCUACGGGAGGCAGCAGUGGGGAAUAUUGCACAAUGGGCGGAAGCCUGAUGCAGCAACGCCGCGUGCGGGAUGACGGCCUUCGGGUUGUAAACCGCUUUCGCCUGUGACGAAGCGUGAGUGACGGUAAUGGGUAAAGAAGCACCGGCUAACUACGUG
rnacentral:rRNA from 1 species